ensembl:antisense Gm43653 predicted gene 43653
CCAGAUUUUCACCUGUUCUGUCAAGGCCCAAAAGGAAGACCAAACACAGAGACAGAAGCUUUUGGCGUUAAGUCAAAGCAGGGUGUGUCCAGGAGGCAGUGCCGGGUGCUUACAGGAGACCGUAUCCCCCGAGCCGACCCGCUUCCCGGCGGAGCAGCCCGAAGCAUUGCGUCCAGCAGCAGUUCCCCAUCGCAUGCCGCCCGGAGCCGCCGCUCCUCCUCCUGCCCCGAGCGCGAGCCCAGGCGGAGCAGCUGCAUCCGCGCCGGCCGGAGCUCGGCAGACAGCGACGCCGGGAACAAAGGCCGCCGCUAGGCCCGCGGGCUCCGGGCUACCGCGGCGCGAGGGACGAGCGCAGGGCCGUGGGGUCCCGGGUCUCCAGCCGUCCGCAUGGCCCGCUCGCCACCCGCCCGGCCACCCGCGCCCGUCACCGCCCCGGCAGCCGCGGGAGGCCCGCGCCGCCACGCCCCCUGCCGCUCCCGGGCUCCCAUUGGACACGUUUCUGGCGGCUCCCGCUUCCGGCGGCUGGCGCGGGCGUCACUUCCGCGGACUUCCGGCUUGGCUGGCAGCGCCGGGCAGGAGGUGCUGUUCUCGGUUGUAGGUGCUGUGUGCUGAACCCUGAUCCUAGACAGGGAUCUGCUCUCUCUCUCUCUGCGCCACUUCUGGCGCCUUCGUCGCCCGCUCUCAAGCAGUGGGGAUCAUGCAGCGCAUGCUCGAGCGCAAGCUUAGCCUUCGAACUUUGUACCUAGAGCGCACGAGCCUCCCCUCCUGCAGCAGCGGGUCGGAAGUCACCCAACGAGUGCGCUCCAGGAUGGCACCAGAGCUAGAGGCAGAGAGGAGGGACUCACUGCCGUUACUUAGAACACACUAAGAGGCUUUUUGUUUUGUUUUGUUUUGUUUUAAUUCUUCAAAUAUUCUCGUUUGCGGGGCAGCUUAUUCUCGUUAUACUGCCAGCGGACUGGAGAGACACUGUGCACUCCUAGGCGGAUUUUCUUUUAUUAAAAACGAAAAGUUCCAGCUUGGGCACGUAGCUCGGUUGGUAGAAGUGUGGUGGAAAAAUCUGCAGUCAACAGCAAUUGAGAGAUGGAAGCAGAGUCAUAAAUUCAAAGUCAACCUCAGAUACACAUUAAGUUGGAGGUCAGCCUGGACUGUGUGAGACCCUGUAUUUUUAUUUUUUAAAUUAAAAGUAAUUUCAGGUGGAGAAGAGGAGAACCAGAAGAAGUCAGCAAAAGGUCUUGGGUUUUCGGAGAACAAGCCAUUUCUAAUUCAAAUAUAAUAUUCUAAUUCCAAGUUAAGAAGAGCAAGGCUGGGGUAAAGGUCCUUGUUCUCAAAUGCCACCCUAAAACCCCCUUUCAGACACCAGGUAGCUUUAAAAGCAGAAGGCAGAAGUAUGUCUGGGAGUUGGAGGCCAGCCUGAUCUACAGAGCCAGAUCCUGGCCAGCCAUGUCUAUGUAAUGAAACCCUGUCUCAAACCCAACUGGAUCCAAGGCAUAGUUUCAUAAAUGCCCAGUUCUGUGGAUAACAUGCUCCACUGAUACCAUAUAUUACAAUUUUAACCCACUUUAGUGUGAGUGAAAUGGUGACAUUG